AUGCAAGUCGAGCGGAGACAGUGAGUAGCUUGCUAUGAGCUGUUUUAGCGGCGGACGGGUGAGUAACGCGUGAGCAACCUUUCCCAGACAGGGGAAUAACACACCGAAAGGUGUACUAAUACCGCAUAAGACCACGGAAUCACAUGGUUCUGAGGUAAAAGAUUUAUCGGUUUGGGGUGGGCUCGCGUCCGAUUAGGUAGUUGGUGAGGUAACGGCCCACCAAGCCGACGAUCGGUAGCCGACCUGAGAGGGUGAUCGGCCACAUUGGGACUGAGACACGGCCCAAACUCCUACGGGAGGCAGCAGUGGGGAAUAUUGGGCAAUGGAGGAAACUCUGACCCAGCAACGCCGCGUGGAGGAAGAAGGUUUUCGGAUCGUAAACUCCUGUCCUUGGAGACGAGUAGAAGACGGUAUCCAAGGAGGAAGCCCCGGCUAACUACGUGCCAGCAGCCGCGGUAAUACGUAGGGGGCGAGCGUUGUCCGGAAUGAUUGGGCGUAAAGGGCGCGUAGGCGGCCUGCUAAGUCUGGAGUGAAAGUCCUGCUUUCAAGGUGGGAAUUGCUUUGGAUACUGGUGGGCUGGAGUGCAGGAGAGGAAAGCGGAAUUACCGGUGUAGCGGUGAAAUGCGUAGAGAUCGGUAGGAACACCAGUGGCGAAGGC
rnacentral:rRNA from 1 species